CGGAGGUGGCAAGCGUUGCUCGGAAUCACUGGGCGUAAAGGGCGCGUAGGCGGGGAGGUAAGUCGGGUGUGAAAUCCCUCGGCCCAACUGAGGAACUGCGCCCGAGACUGCUUCUCUUGAGUCCCGGAGAGGAAGAUGGAAUUCCCGGUGUAGCGGUGAAAUGUGUAGAGAUCGGGAGGAACACCGGUGGCGAAGGCGGUCUUCUGGACGGUGACUGACGCUGAGGCGCGAAAGCGUGGGGAGCAAACGGGAUUAGAUACCCCGGUAGUCCACGCUGUAAACGAUGGGUGCUAGGUGUGGGGGGUAUCGACCCCUCCCGUGCCGAAGCUAACGCAUUAAGCACCCCGCCUGGGGAGUACGGCCGCAAGGUUG
rnacentral:rRNA from 1 species